AUACGGAGGGUGCAAGCGUUACUCGGAAUCACUGGGCGUAAAGCGCGCGCAGGCGGUCUUUUAAGUUGGAUGUGAAAGCCUACGGCUCAACCGUAGAACUGCAUCCAAAACUAUUAGACUAGAGUGUGGGAGAGGAAGAUGGAAUUAGUUGUGUAGGGGUAAAAUCCGUAGAGAUAACUAGGAAUACCAAAAGCGAAGGCAAUCUUCUGGAACACUACUGACGCUGGGGCGCGAAAGCGUGGGGAGCAAACAGGAUUAGAAACCCUAGUAGUCC
rnacentral:rRNA from 1 species